UGGCUCCUCUGUGAAAUCAGCGAGCUUCAUGGGAUUUACAGGUGCACAUCAGCACUUAUGAGCACACCUCGGGGAUUACAGGUGCUCACCAGCUGGGAUGACAGGUGCCCACCACCUGGGAUGACAGGUGCUCAUCAUCUGGGAUGACAGGUGCUCAUCAUCUGGGAUGACAGGUGCUCAUCAUCUGGGAUUACAGGUGCUCAUCAGCACACCCAGUUCAUCUUUGUCUUUUGCUUUUCACACUUUGAAUCUUUCUCCAACACCCCUGCACCCAUUUGUUUGGCAACAGGAUCUCUCUAUGUAGUCUAGGCUGCUCUGGAGCUUGCUGUGUAUGCCAGAUGGCCUCAAACUCAGAGAGUUAAUACUGGAUUAAAGGUGUGCACCAUCACCCCAACGUGAUACAGUGGUCUUUAAGUUAUAUUUUUAUUUUCUGCACAUGGAUGUUUUGCCUGCAUGAAUGUAUGUGCACAACAUGGAUGCCUCUACAGAGGCCAGAGGAGGGUGUCAGAUCCCCUGGAACUGGAGUUACAGACAUUUGUGAGCUGCCACAUGGGUGCUGGGAACAGAACCUGAGUCCUUCUCCUUUGCAAUAACAAAUACCCUUACCAAUAAGCUAUCACUUCAGCACAAAAUGUGAUGCUUUUUAAAUGUAUGCUUAUUAAUAUUAACUAUAAACCUUAAAAAAGAAAUCCCAAAGUCGCUGCCAACCAUUUCCAAGUCAUUAAAAAAAAAAAAUCAACACUUUUAGUGAAGCCAAAAAUUAUAUAAGAAAAAAAAAAAUCACACCAAAAUAGUUUUCAUUCCCUUUACUCCAAGGGUAAUUUUUCCCCUAAAGCCCAAACAAGUAAGAUUAGCAAUCAUUUAGGUCCAGGGUAUUUAACCAGCAAGCCUGCUUCUUUGGCACCUUCUAAAAUUACUCCUUUAGGCAGCUUGAACCAGUUAAACUACAUCCUUUCAAGCUCUCAGGAGCUAACUACAACCACCCCUCUGGUUUCCUAGGAAACAAAACAUUAGCUAGAAAUAGCGAAUCAUUUCCAGGUCACUUUCAACAGGGAGGGCGGAGCUGGACAGCACUGGACUGAGGAGGAGGUUAAAGCUUUACUAAGUGUCUGGGCGGAAAGAAAUAUAGGAAAACAACUUUAUGGAACACUGAGAAAUAAGGGAAUAUUUAUUUACAUUGCUACAAGGCUGCAAUCACCGGGCGUAUACAGAGAUUGGAAACAGUGUCGUCCAAAGUAUAAAAAUCUCAAGUAUGAAUGCGGGACAGUUAGGCAUGCCCACAACUCAGGAGACAGCUCGAGAACUAUGAAGUUCUUCCACGAUUUGGAUGCAAUCCUGCAGGAUGAACCCACCACAUAAUUAACAGAGGAGGAGGAUGGCUACAGCUGGUACCUGGCAACCCUGGGCUCCAGUACCGCCCCAGAGAUUACCGGAGGUAAAAAGAAAAACGCCAUUCUUUUGUUUGUUUUUCACUUCAUUUACAAUUUCUGAGUAUAUGUGAUAAAUACAGCCUGAAAUACCAAGAUUAAAAAAAAAUCCAACAUACCUUUUUGCACAAGGUAUGGAUGGAUUUCAAAAGGAAGUUCAAAACCAUCCCUUCUUACAUCUCAAAUAAAGCAAAAGCACAUUAAAAUGGCACUAAAUGCUGUACCAACUAUGGUUGAUGUGGCUCUGAAAUAGAUAGGUUUGAAAGAUACUUUAGGACUUAAUUUUAGAGUGUAUCAAAAAUGCUGUCCAGCUAUGUGUUUCAUACAGUCCCCAAGAAGACAGAAAUUUCUAAUAUUCUCACCUUCCUAAAUGUAUAAACAAAACCCCUAAAAUGGAGCCCCCAGGAAUUCGGGCUUCUCCAGGAAAUUGCAAGGAAUGAAAACUGGCUGGCUGCGGGGGCCUUGGACACCAGAAUACACCCACCUUCUGGGACAAAGAUCUACGUAUGUUUAUUUCAUCUUUUCCAUCAGUCGAGUCACUGCUACAGGCAAGGUCAACAGACAGCCUUCUCUCCAGCUUUGGUCAAAACUGUAAGUCAGCUCACUUCCCACAUCUCUGUGGACUACGUCAUUGUCUCUUAUCGUGGACAAGCAUCUGCACACAGAGCCAGGCCCCACAGCUAGAGAUCCAGCAAGAGAACCUGGUGAACCAGGAAGGGAUGGUACCAGACGCCACCUCUCAGAUACGAGUGUCGAGUGCGGCUGUGAAAUCUCUUUUCCCUGUUAGCCAGUGUCAGCAGCCUUUCGCCACUUGCUUGUUUUAAGGAAAAACUUAACUUCUAAAAUCUACCAACUCCAAUGUAUCUGUCUCUCCCUUCCUCCCCCGCCUCCACCUUAUUCAGUUCUGAGGAAUGAACAGCCUUGGCUUUGCUGGGCAAGCGCUACCCCUGAGCUACAUCCUUCCUCACACCGCUAGUCCUUUCUCAGUUAACCUCUUGCAGGUUGGACACACUUGUUUAUAAUGGUGUGUAGGACAAUUCCCUCCUUUUCUCCCUUCCUCUUUCUUCUUUUUUCUUUUGCAGGACUAGGAAUUGAACUCUAACCCCUAACCCCACAGCUGACACUUUGACACUUAAUUACUAGCAGUAGGCAACAUCUCUAGACUUACUUCUAUAACUGACUACUCACGUCGACGGCAUCUCACGUAAGCCUCGUGUUUUAACUGAAAUCAGUCUGGACCAUAUUCCAACAGUGGCCAAGAGCCCACUCAUUUGUUUCCGUGAACAGUAAGGCUUCCAGCUUCAAACCUCUGGAACUUUAUGAUUCACACUACAAAUGACCACGAGAGCUUUUCUUGUUUCACUCACAGUUUGCACCGGGCCCUUUUCUGGGAACAUAAAGCCAGCGGAUGCAGGUAUCUGUACAUCAAUAAUGGAAGCCCCUAAUAAUUCAACUCUUAUUCCAACGGUAGCAAAUGAAGGAGGAAAACACCGGACUACACCAGAAGUCCGCGCUCUGAUAGGCAUCUGGUCAGAAAACAACUACACAACAACUAGAGGGAACGGUGAGAAAUGAAAAGACAUCUGAACAAACUGCAAGCAGGCUUCAGAAACCUGGAAUAGAGAGAGACAGGGAGCAGCGCAGAACAAAGUCUGAAAAUCUAAAACACAAAUACAAGGCGGUGAGAGCAGCCCGAGGCCUAGGCAUGACUAGGAAUAGGAAAUGUUUCACUGCGUUGAGUGCUAUUCUGGGAAAUGACAAAAAAGAAAAAUCACAAAAGCACGAAUUCCAAGAUGGAGAAUGAACCACAGGAUGUGCACAUGUAGAAACUGAAGCUGACCAGACAGGUAGGGCGUGGAGGGGAGGAGGUGCCUUUAACAUGUCACAUCACAAGGGGUUCAGCUGCAUAAGACAACACAAUCUGAGUUAAAUGGGUUUCAUUAAAACCCAUCACUUAUUUAAAUUAUUAUGUUGAGUAUAUGCUACAUGGGGAUGGGUGGGGGGCAUGUGUCCCAGUGCACACGUGGAGGUCAGAGAACAAUUAUGGGAUUUGUAUUCUCUUUCUGUCUUCACAAGGGCUUCUGGGAAUGAAUUUAGUUAGCAGGCUUGCAUACCACUUACCUACUGAACCAUGAGGUAGGCCCCUUAGUAAGUGUUAUUAUAUUAACUAGUUGCUGAAUUGAUAAUGAAAUAGAGUUAAUGCAUACUGUUCUCCUUUAAAAUGCAAAAAAAUUUUUUUUUACAUAAUUACAAAGGAAGAAAGAAAGCAGGAUUUUUCAGAACAAAUCUUAAAAUAGAUAAAAUUUUCAAAGCCAAUAUGCAAUUUCAGAUCACAGAAGUUAAGGCAAGAUUCCAUACCAACUACACAGCACUGUAAAUCUAAAAAUGGCACCAAAGAAAUCCUUAGAGGUGGGUAAGCCUUCUAUGAAACGUCACAGAGCUCUUUAAAAAUCAAUGCAGCUGAAACGGCAGAGAUACAAUGCUCACACACACAAGUAACAUAAAAUGAACUGAAUGAGUUCUGGACCAGGGGUCAGGAAGCCAACCUCUAAGUCAGUCUCUCAGAAGAUGGAUGGAACCUGGAAGCAGCCAAGUACACAGACUGUUGCCUAAAAUGGGAGGCUCAGGCAAGGUGGUCCUAAAGACCUCUACUGGACACUUUUCUCAAGAUUUGAUUUGUGGUUUAAACGAGGCAACCCUAAGGAAGUAGAAAACAAAGUGUGUUAGCUACGUAUGCAGCUAUUCACGUUAAAAAUAAAAGGUAAAGCGUCUACUGAUAAAGUUGCCCACAGGCUGUACAGUGACAAGUCAGUGCCGGAAGGGGUGGAUGGAGACUAUGUCAGAAGACUUAGAGAUGAACACAUUGUCAAAGCAGACAAUCACGGAGCAUUAGUGACUUUAAGAUGAAAUUCUGAAAGGGAGGGAAUAAAAAAAAUAAAAAACUAUAUAUCCCCUUACGUUCCUACAGUCGCUGCUGGAGAAGUCACUAAGGAUGACUCAGUGAGCAGUCAAUCAGAAGACAGCUUUUCUAGUGUCAAACCAAGUCCUGACACAGGUAAAGUGAUACUCUGCUUUUUCGUGUAAGACGAAAUAUUACUACAGGGUAUCACUAUAAAUAAACUUAAUUAUGCCUCGCCCAGCUCCCAGGAAAUCCAUGUACUGGAGCCCUAACUCCCAGAGUGAGGGUCUUUAUGGGAUUGGCUUUGGAGAUUGUGUUUCCAUAAGGUCAUGAGAUGGGCAUGAGGAAGGUUGAGAACCACUGAAUUUCAGCAGGUUACAAUCAGGUUAGUACCUACAUUCUUUUUUUUUUUUUACAUUUAUUUUUAUUUUAUUAUGUGCAUUGGUGUCUUGCCUGCAUGUAUGUUUGUGUGAGGGUUUCGGAUCUCCUGGAACUGGAGUUACAGACAGCUGUGAGCUGCUAUAUGGGUGCUGGGAAUUGAACCUGGGUCCUUUGGAAGAACAGUGAGUGCUCUUAACCUCUGAGCCAUCUUUCCAGCCCAGCACUUACAUGCUUAAGUCUCCUCAAUGACAGCUGGGGUUGGGAAAUCACAGUGAGGCUGCCACACUCGAAGCUCCCAGUCUCCUCCUGUUACACUAAGUAAAAUGGAAUGGCCGUGGCAAUUACCAUUUCUUUGGAUCUAAAUGAAUGAUUUGUUUUUCCUCCUGGGUUUGAAGCACAGACAAGUGGGGAAACAAAACUGACUCGAUUCGCCUCCAGUCUCAGCCGCCAUUUCUAUGGCUGGAAUUCCCUGGUAGGUAUACUGUGCUCUUUCAAGCCAUAGCUAUUUAAAGGACAGUCAUGGGUCAAUUCUGAGUUGGAGGGGUGGAAUCAAGUACACUGAACAGCUGCUGCGUGAGGAAAAUGGAUCUCGUUUGAAGGUUACUCAGAAGUUCAACCUAAAAAAAAAAAUCACAAGUGAAAGGGCCACAUUGUUCACUUGAGACUAACCCCAAAACUUUUGGCUGUACUAAAACGCCUUGCUGAAAUUAAAAAUGGCACUAGCCUCUGAUUAAAAUUAGCACUGCGAUGGCCGGCAGAGGGCCUAUCUGUUGCUGCAUGCGCAGAACAUUUCAUAUAUUCAAAGUCACACCAAUCACAAGUAUCUAAUUUCAGAACAUCCUGACCAGCCCUAGCAACCACUCCAGGAAUGUCACAUAAAUAGUAUCAUACCACGUGGCCCUUUGUGCCUGGCUUCUUUUACUUAGAAUCAUGCUUUUAAAUUUCAUUCACAGGGCUGGCGAGAUGGCUCAGAGGUUAAGAGCACUGGCUUCUCUUCCAGAGGUCCUGAGUUCAAUUCCCAGCAACCACAGGGAGGCUCGCAACCAUCUGUAAUGAGAUCUGGUGCCCUCUUCUGGUGUGCAGGCAUGCAUGCAUGCGGGCAGAACACUGCAUACAUAAUAAAUUUUUU